UAUAUUUUAGUAUAGGAUGUACGAGAAUUUUUGAAAUUUUAAGAAACAGUUAGACUCUGUUAGGUAUAA
rnacentral:tRNA from 1 species